UACGUAGGGUGCAAGCGUUAAUCGGAAUUACUGGGCGUAAAGCGUGCGCAGGCGGUUAUGUAAGACAGAUGUGAAAUCCCCGGGCUCAACCUGGGAACUGCAUUUGUGACUGCAUCGCUGGAGUACGGCAGAGGGGGAUGGAAUUCCGCGUGUAGCAGUGAAAUGCGUAGAUAUGCGGAGGAACACCGAUGGCGAAGGCAAUCCCCUGGGCCUGUACUGACGCUCAUGCACGAAAGCGUGGGGAGCAAACAGG
rnacentral:rRNA from 1 species